ensembl:snRNA U6 U6 spliceosomal RNA
GUGCUCGCUUCGGAAGCACAUAUACUAAAAUUGAAAUGAUACAGAGAAGAUUAUCAUGGCCCCUGCACAUGGAUGGCAUGCAAAUUAGUGAAGCGUUCCUUAUUAAA